UACGUAGGGGGCAAGCGUUGUCCGGAUUUAUUGGGCGUAAAGAGCGUGUAGGCGGCCAUACAGGUCCGUUGUGAAAACUGGAGGCUUAACCUCCAGACGUCGAUGGAAACCAUCUGGCUAGAGUCCGGAAGAGGAGAGUGGAAUUCCUGGUGUAGCGGUGAAAUGCGCAGAUAUCAGGAAGAACACCCGUGGCGAAGGCGGCUCUCUGGUACGUGACUGACGCUGAGACGCGAAAGCGUGGGGAGCAAACAGG
rnacentral:rRNA from 1 species